rnacentral:rRNA from 1 species
CCCUUAGAUGUUCUGGGCUGCACGCGCGCUACACUGAAGCGUUCAACGAGUAUUCACCUUGCCCGGGAGGGUUGGGUAAUCUUUUGAAUGCGCACCGUGCUAGGGAUAGAUUAUUGCAAUUAUUAAUCUUGAACGAGGAAUUCCUAGUAAACGCAAGUCAUCAGCUUGCAUUGAUUACGUCCCUGCCCUUUGUACACACCGCCCGUCGCACCUACUGAUUGAAUGACUCGGUGAAAAAUUGGGACUGUGAGAACAAUUGAUUCAUUUCAAAUGUACUCGUGGGAACUUUUUUUAACCUCGCCAUUUAGAAGAAGGUGAAGUCGUANCA